UUCCAGCUCCAAUAGCGUAUAUUUAAGUUGUUGCAGUUAAAAAGCUCGUAGUUGGAUUUCGGGUGAGGAUGACCGGUCUGCCGUUGCGGUACGCACUGGACGUUUUCAUCUUGUUGUCGGGGACGCGCUUCUGGGCUUCACUGUUCGGGACGCGGAGUCGGCGCUGUUACUUUGAAAAAAUUAGAGUGUUCAAAGCAGGCAAUCGCUCUGAAUACAUUAGCAUGGAAUAACGCUAUAGGACUCUGGUCCUAUUGUGUUGGUCUUCGGGACCGGAGUAAUGAUUAAGAGGGACAGUUGGGGGCAUUCGUAUUUCAUUGUCAGAGGUGAAAUUCUUGGAUUUAUGAAAGACGAACUUCUGCGAAAGCAUUUGCCAAGGAUGUUUUCAUCG
rnacentral:rRNA from 1 species